AUAUUUCACAAUGAGCUAAAGCCUGAUCCAGCCAUUCAGCGUGUGUGAAGAAGGUCUUCGGCUUGUAAAGCACUUUAAGUUGGGAGGAAGGGCAGUAGGUUAAUACCUUGCUGUUUUGACGUAACCGACAGAUUAAGCACCGGCUACCUUCGUUCCAGUAGCUGCGGUAAUACGAAGGGUGCAAGCGUUAAUCGGAAUUACUGGGCGUAAAGCGCACGUAGGUGGAUUGUUAAGUUGGAGGUGAAAGCCCCGGGCUCAACCUAGGAACUGCUUUAAAAACUGACAAGCUAGAGUAUGGCAGAGGGUGAUGGAAUUUCCUGUGGAGCGGUAAAAUGCGUAGAUAUAGGUAUGAACAUCAGUGGCGAUGGCGACUACCUGGACUGAUACUGACACUGAGGUGCGAACGCGUGGGGAGCAAACGGU
rnacentral:rRNA from 1 species